UACGUAGGGGGCAAGCGUUGUCCGGAUUUAUUGGGCGUAAAGAGCGUGUAGGCGGCUGGGUAGGUCUGCUGUGAAAACUCGAGGCUCAACCUCGAGACGUCGGCGGAAACCCUCCAGCUAGAGUCCGGAAGAGGAGAGUGGAAUUCCUGGUGUAGCGGUGAAAUGCGCAGAUAUCAGGAAGAACACCGGUGGCGAAGGCGGCUCUCUGGGACGGUACUGACGCUGAGACGCGAAAGCGUGGGGAGCGAACAGG
rnacentral:rRNA from 1 species